rnacentral:lncRNA from 1 species
AUUCCAUGCUUAAGCGUUCUAUGAUAAUCAUAAUAUAAUAGAAAUAAAACUAAGAGGUAGGUCGAUUACUUGCGCCCCAAGUAACUUCAGACUUCUCGUUUAUCAAGGACUGUCGUGGAUGGGUUAAGUCCACAUAAGGUUCUUUUUUAUGCCUUGAGGCCAAUGACUUUUAACUGAUCAGAUUUGCAUGCCCGAGGGCUUAGGACUUGGAUCUGGUUUGAACACUAAAGAUAUAUUCAAAUCGGAUCCAAGUACUGAGAAAGCCUUUUAAUAGUCAUCUUGCUAGAAAUAACUUGCAUAUAACUGGAAGUAUACAACAUAUUGCUAGGCUAAUGAAUGAAAAGACAAAAACAAAGAAGGUCGGGCAAGGUUUAACCUUAUCAGGUAAGGCUGAUCGUCUUGCAGGUUCCUAUCUUUGUAGUUUUGUCAAGGGUCUGAAAGCUUAGAGAGAGAGAGAGAGAGAGAGAGAGAUAGAGAGAUUACAAAAGAUGAAUCGAUACUACAGCAAGGUUGAACAGGGUAGCAGAGCUAUUACAAAGGUUUGAAAGAAGGUUUAGCCCGCGAUGGAUGAAGGCUUGUCCCGAGAGGGAUGAAGGCUUGGGCUGACUACAACUUCAUUUUGAAGGCAAAUCUGGCUUUGAGCAGAGUUUGUGCUUGCAUUUGUUUGUUUGAUUGAGUGUCCUUAUUCCUGGUUUCUCUUUCUUCUUAUAUAGACAACUUGGCUUGGCCUCAUGUAGCAGCAGCCUUGCCCGAAUGCGGUUUGAGGGUGAUGACUCAUCAGCUAUUUUACAUGUAAUGCCACCAUAAAGUACUUUAUGGGCUGUGUAGCUGGUCAGUCUAUACCACUUGGCCUUUGGGUAGGUGAGCAAGUGGUCUUCAUGAGCUGCACCAAGUCAGAAAAGGCAUUUUCUGCUUUUCUGGGUUUUGGCCGGGCCUUGGUCAACUAUUCCUUCAGGCCUCCUUUUGGGCCAGCUCAUUUCUUGAGCCCAAAGUUAAGUUUUGAUCCAAACAGUGUCCCCUUCAAUUGAUAUUUAACCUGGAAUUCCAGGCGCCAAUAUUAAUUGAAUAUCCGCAUGCGUGUAUAUCAAUCUUUUGGAACUUGUGUUUUCUGUGCCCCUUGCUCUUCUCAUGACCUUUGAACUGUCCUGUGGGCCCUAUAAAUUAUGGCUCGGAAUUUCUUCUGUCAAGCCAUCAAAUCCUCUUCGGCCUUCCCUUCCAUCUUCCUCGAGCGUUCUUGUCUUCUUUUAAAAACUGAGAAAUGGGUUCCUCAGGCUUUGAGUGGAGUUUCCUAAAACUCCCUUUUCGUGAGAAAAAGGGUUUUCAUCAAAUGACUGCUAUCUCCAACACCCUUGGUCGAACACCCCGCUAUCUCCAACACCAUUGGUCAGGCGGUUUCCUCUUGAAGGCUUGUCUUCCUCCUUGUUACGGUGAUAAGUCGGGCUUCACCAUCACAUAUGGUGACGGUCCUGUCUAAGGAUCCUCUACUAGGCUCAUGUUGGCCGCACAACCCGAUCACCUGAUUGGGUUCUAUUCAUGAAGAUAUCGGAAAACCAGCUGAAAACACCACCAUAUCCAGAGAUAAUCAAAUGUAAUACGUAGGAAUUGAAUCUAUUGUUAAUUUCACCAAUUUGUCGACAUGAAAUAAAUAUUAUUUCAGCAACUUUUGUCUUUCUGUCUUCUUUGAAUGGUUGAUGAACAAACACUGCACAUGAAACUCCCGAAGCCUACUUUACUUUGCCCCCUCUUCAAUUUAACAAUCUCUAACAUCCCAUAAUGUAGGACAAUAUUUUUUCAAGAAUUUAACAUUAAUGGGAUGUUUCUGCCCAUUUACUUCGAGGUCCGCUAGGUAGUAUCCUCCUUUAUCCAAAACUCGACUAAUAAUGAAAUGACCUUCCCAUGUCGGGCUCCAUUUUCCAAAGCCCCGAAGCUGAGCUCCUAGCGGGAGGACUGUUUUCCAUACUAAAUCUCCCUCUUUGAAAGACUUUAUCUUCACCUUUUUGUUAUAAGCUCGGGCAACAGCUUUCUUUCCUUCCUGAAUCUGGUUCAAGGCUUCAAUUCGGGCUACAUCCAAGUCUUCAAUUCCUUGACACAUGCCUUCGAUGUAUUCUUCACUAUGUAACCCAAAUUGGUUUUGAAUUCUAACAGAACUAACAUUGAUCUCCAUAUGGAGCACUGCAUCUUGCCCGAAAAUCAAAGCAUAAGGAGUUGUCCCUGUUCCUGCCCUCUUGGAAGUUCUGUAUGCCCACAACGUAUUCCCCAGCUUUUCAUGUCACUUUUCUGGACUAUCUAUCACCAUUCUUUUGAUAAUGUUGACCAGGAUCUUGUUGCUGGCCUCUGCCUGAUUGAGGAUAGUACGGACUGGACUGGAUCAUCUUUAUUUUGUACUUGCUUGCAAACUCUUCAACUUUUUUUGAAAUAAAAGAUGGCCCACGGUCCGUUACUAUAGUUUCGGGCACCCCGUAUCUGUGCAGAAUCUUGGUCUCGAUAAAAUUCUUGACUGCGGCUGAAGUUAUGGAUUUUACUGCCGAUGUUUCCACCCACUUGGUGAAGUAAUCCAUUGCUACAAUUAUAAAAGUAUGCCCUUUACUAGAAGUUGGAUAGAUUUGCCCGAUGAAGUCCAUCGCCCACCCUCUGAAAGGCCAAGGCUUGACUACUGGAUUUAAAGGUACUGAAGGCACAUGUUGGAGAGGUCCGUGCCUUUGACAUUCUUCACAACCUCGGGCAUAAGACUUGCAAUCUUUUUCCAUGUCGGGCCAGAAAUAACCGUACCUUCUAAGCAACCAUCUCAUCUUUGUCCCCGCCUGAUGUGCUCCACAUAUUCCUUCAUGUACUUCGGCCAUUACUCUCAUGGAUUCUUCUUGGCCUAAGCAUUUUAAUAGUAGCCCAUCUGGAGUUUUCCUUAGUAGGUUCGUCGCCCAUAAGACAUACUUGGUUGCUUGCUGUCUAUUCUUCUUACUUGUAGGCGAAGAGGGAUCCUUCAAAUGAUGAAUGAUAGGUGACCUCCAAUCUUCUAUCUUGGUUUCUAGAACCAUUAUAUCCAGACUGAAUCCCCUUUCUAAGAUAGAAAAAAGGUUUCUUUUUUGGAUCUCGACAUCUACCCCAUAUUUUCUUUCCUGUAUUGGCACUCCUGAGGCUAGUUGUGCCAUCUCGUUGGCCGCUAAGUUGGAUCCCCUGGGAACAUGAUUGACUGAUAUCUCAGAAUCCCAGAAACUCAAUAAUUGCGUAGCUGCCAUGUGAUACCCCGCUAUAGUGAUAUGUCUGCACUUGAACUCACCAUUUAGCUGGUUUAUUACCAACUCUGAAUCACCAAAGACCUCUACCUCUGCUGCCCCCAAAUCCAUCAGGAUUUCCAGACCAAUUAUUAAGGCCUCAUACUCUACCCGAUUAUUAGUAUUUUCUUGGUAGUCUAGGAGAAAUGAGUAAUAAUGAUAAACCCCUUAAGGGUUUACAAUCACAAUCCCAGCUCCUGAAGCCUUCUGAGUGUGAGAUCCAUCGAAAUACAACUUCCAAGGAGUGAUCCAGAGACCAGUUACUCUUCUUAUUUCUUGCUGGACCUUAUCUUCUUUGCCCAAAAUAUCUUUUCUUGGUGGGAUCCAAAUGCUAGUAACCUCCAGGCUUCCCGGGAUAUUGAUUACCUCACUUUGAGAUUCUUGAUGCUCGGUCAGGAAGUCAGCAAUUGCUUGGCCUUUGACUGCCCUUUGGGGUACAUAUUGAAAACUGAACUCUGAUAAUGCUAGAAUCCACUUCCCAAUCCUUCCUGUUAGCAUUGGCUUUGACAACAUGUACUUUAUCACAUCUGUUUUGGCGAUGAUGUGUACGUGACAGGGCAACAUGUAAUGCCUUAGCUUGCUGGCAGUAAAAUAUAGAGCCAAGCAUAAUCUCUCUACUGGAGAAUAUCUUAUCUCUACCUCGGUCAGAAUUCUGCUGAGGUAGUAUACGGUCUGCUCCUUCCCGCCUUCAUUAUUUUGGGCUAGCAAACUUCCGAUUGACUUUUCUGAAGCAGAAAUAUACAACUUUAAGGGCUUUCCCCUUUGAGGUGGCACCAACACUGGUGGAGAAGUUAAAUAUGCCUUGAUGCUGUCAAAAGCCUGUUGGUGUGGCGGUCCCCACUCGAAGUUUUCUUUAUCUUUCAAUCUUAGUAGAGGAGUUAGCGGCUGGAUCUUGCCUGCUAAAUUGGCAAUGAAUCUCCUCAAGAAGUUAAUUUUGCCUAGUAGCCUUUGGAGUUGUACUUUAUUGGUGGGUGAAGGUGACUCCAUUAUUGCCCGAGAUUUGUUCUUGUCCACUUCCACACCUAUCUGAUGCACUAGGAAUCCCAAGAAGUUGCCCGCUCUCACUCCAAAUGCGCACUUAUUUGGAUUCAUCUUCAAUUUGUGGAUCCUCAUCCUUGUCAAUGUUUGCUUGAGGUCUACUAGAUGAUGCUCUUCUGUCUUAGAUUUUACCACGAUGUCAUCGAUAUAUACUUCCAUGCUCUGGCCAAUCAGAUCGUGAAAGAUGGCAUUCAUUGCCCUUUGGUAGGUUGCACCAGCAUUCUUGAGCCCGAAUGGUAUGACCAGAUAUUCAUAUGCCCCCACAUGACCGGGACACCUAAAAGUUGUUUUAUGUAUAUCUUCUGGAGCCAUCUUUAUCUGAUUAUACUCGGCAUUUCCAUCCAUAAAAGAUAAGACUUUAUGUUUUACUACUGCAUCUAUGGAUAAAUCGGCCAUGGGCAUGGGAUACUCAUCUUUCGGUGUGGCACUAUUAAUAUUUCUGUAGUCAACACAACAUCGUACUGCUUUUGUUACAGCUUUUAAAACGGGUACAAUGUUGGCUAGCCACUCCACAUAUUUGGCUAGUCUGAUAAAGCCAACUUUUACCAGUCUUUCAAUCUCUUCUUUGAUCUUUUCUUCUAUCUUCUUCGACAUCCUUCGUGGUGCUUGCUUAACAGGUUUAUAUCCCUCCUUGAUGGGCAUUCUAUGUUCCACCAAGGUUGGAUCUAACCCUGGCAUCUCAGUAUAAUGCCAAGCAAAACAGUCUUUGAAUUCUUGCAAAAGGCAAAUAAUCCUUGCCCGAUAAUCAACCCUCAAUAAACCACUGAUCUGUAUUGGUCUUGGAUCAUCCUCUGUUCCUAGAUCAAUAAUUUCCAGAGGAUCCUGGACUUCUGGUGGUGGCUUAUCCGGUUCUGCACACAAAAAUUCGACCAGCUCCAGGCUCUCGGGCAAGUCGUCUGGCCCGUCUAGGUCAUAUAUGCACUCGGCCAUUUGAAUGGCCCUAUCCAGUUCUUCUCUGCAAGAUUCCUCCUUGCGUUCAUGCUGGCUGGUUGAAGCUCCCUCCUGCCAUUCUUGCUCUUCCUUAUCCAAGAGCUCCCUUUCUUGCCUUCUUCCCUUCCCAUACACCAACAGUCUUUUAAUCAGGGAUCUGACUGCCAUUACCUGAUUUUUCUUCUUUUGUUCAGUCAUUGAUGGUGUAGGGGAUUUGGGAUGAUACAAGGUCUAUCCCACUCCUCUUUAGUAAGGAGCAUUCCUUGUUCCAAAAGCUUUUGGGCCGUCACCUUGGUAGGGCGGCCGUUCUUAUCAGCUCCUGAACAUUUCAAGAUUCCUACGUUGGGGUUGUAGAAACUUUCUUCCGCAACAUUGGCUGUGGGGAGGAAUGGCCGUGAUUCGGCCUCUACUAUCUCCCAAAAGCCUGGUCCUUCUGUGCCCGCCUCAUGAUAAACAACUACUUGUUGAUGAAGAGUGGAGGGUAUGGCCAAACUUUGGUGGAUCCAAUCUCUUCCGAGUAAGGCCCCAUAAGUGGAGGUGCAGUCCCCCACAAAGAAUGCCAGCAUUAUCUGUUUAGAUCCCAAAUCCACUUCUAAAGGCAAUAUCCCAUGAGUCUUGGUGAUAGCGCCUGAGAAGCUAGAGACCGUGAGGUCUGUGGGAAUAAGAUCCUCCGUGCCUCUUCCCAUUUUCCUCAUCUGCUUGGCUGGUAACACAUUAACAGCUGCUCCUCCAUCAAUUAGAAUUCUUUUGAAGGGCACACCUUUCAAGUAAGCUGUAACAUAUAUGGGCUUCAGAUGGUUGGCCAGCGAGAUGUUCGGGCGGUUAAACACCAUCUCGUCUGUAUAAAUCCUUAGAGGACCACUUUUGGAUGUUUUUGAAGAUUCGGCCUUGCCAGAUUCUUCUUCUUCAACUACCUCCACAUUGACAUGUGCCAUCAUUGGCUCAGUUGUCAAGUAAUCACCCUCCAUAGUAGCGGGUUGAUCAGGUCUGACACCAAACGUGGCGGAUAAUACAUAUGCCAUGUUGACAUGGAAAUUAUUAGGCUCGAGCAAAUCUUCCUUCUUGCUCCCAAUCUGGUCCAUGAAUUCAUCCAACCAGGCCAUCGCAUCGGCUGGAAGUAGUGGUUCUGGUGCCCCCCUGUUGCUGUUGAUUCAUGCCCGCAUACAGUGUUUGUUUUGGAACUUCACCAAAAGGAUCCACCAAUGGCAAAGAAGGUGGUCUCCUAUCAGAUGAAACAGUUCCAACGCAAAUAGGCUCUAGCUUCCACCCAGGGGUUGGCACCAUGAUCAGAUCUUCUUGAGCUCUCCUCAAGAUCCUAUACUUCCCAGGGUGUUGGUUCUGUGGCACGUGAUUCCCCUCGCCUUCUGUCUUACUAUUGGCCUUUUCUACCUCUUUCUUACUUCUCCAGCGGAGCUGACUCCUUCCCCUAGAUGCUGUUUUCUCCAACUUUUGAUUUUUUGAGGCUUCGGAUGUUGCGGGGGUCUUCAGGGAAUUCAUGUAGGCUUUAUGCUGCCUUUGAACCCUCCUGACCAUGGAGGCUCCCAUUGGUUUGGUAGGCUGUCUGUUCUUUCCGACUAUGUACCAUUUUCGCCCUAGGUGGGCAGGAUUUCCUUUUCUGACAGGAUUGGUUAUCCCAUCAAUCCUCUUGAUUUCCCUCCCCAUCUGGCCAUAUUGAGGAUGAUCUGCACCCCUCCGUAUUUUGGCCUCCAUAUCUUCUGCCUCUUUAGAAGCUUCAUGGUUUCGAAAUACUUCUGACAAAGCUUUGGGUUGGGAAUCACCUCCUAGUUGUUGAAAAACGCUUCGGGAAGUGUCCUUUUUUGUUGUCUGCUUGAUCUUUUCGCGGGCUUCUCUCCUUACGUCUUCUUCCUUCCUCCUGAUCAGUUCAUGAUCAAUGAGGAUUCCAGCUGGGGGAAUUUCGAGCUCACACUCGCAUUGGCACUUAUUACACAUAACCAUCCCCUUGAUUAUUGCUACUUUUGGAUAUUCGGGCGAUUUGAUCAUCCCUCAUGUAGGUUUUUUAGCCAGUCUUUCUUCCUCUGCUUCCCUUGUGAUCUUUUCUUUUCCUUUCUCCGCCCAUGCCAUAUUGAUCAUAUUUAUAGGGGCCUCCGAGAAGGGAACUGCAGGUUUGGCCAUCACCAUAUCUUCUGGCUGGCUAGCUUUAAGUCUUUUUCCUUUGGGAGGAACCAAGUCUGUAUCGUUUCUGGAGCCUGUGAAGGUUUUCUCCAAUCUUUGCAACAUUUGCAACAAUGUGGUUUGCAAAUCUUCUGACAUUUUUGUCAUAUAUCUUCUGAUCAAAAAGGGGAAUCCCACCGGGCGUGCCAAAACUAUGUUCGCGUCAGGAAUUUUCGUCGGGGAUGUUUCCUGGCCAACGAGCACACAGUUCCCCGGGAGGUUGGCGCCGGUUGAGGGCUGCUGUCGGGCUUCUGCUUCACUGUCGGGCUUUGUCGGGCAAGCUUCGUCGGGCAAGUCUUAUCGGGCAAGAUUUGUCGGGCAAGGCUCACCGGGCAAGGCUGAAAGAGAAGGACAAAAUUAACUUUGAAAGGUGCCUUUGUGGGGCCUUAGGUGUAGGCCUUGAGGCUCACAAUCAAGAUUAACUUUUAGGUGCUCAGGCAUGCCACUGCCAUCUUCAGCAUGGCAGAUGUAAAAUGGAUGUCGAGUUUUAGUUAUAUAUAUGUAUAUACUCGAGAAACCGUGUUAGUUAUAACAGGUGCCUUUGUGGGGCCUUAGGUAUAGGCCUUGAGGCUUCUUAUCAAACUAAACCAGUGCUCGAACACAUCAUAUUUGUUCUUGUGAGUGCAAGAGUCUUAUAACUAUUAUACUUCUGAUUAACCGAGUCCGAGAGGUAGAAUGAACCCAAAUAGGUGCCUUCGUAGGGCCUUAGGUGUAGGCCUUGAGGCUUCCCAUUAGAAUUCGUUCUUAGUCAAACGUUCUAGAUCGCAGAACGGAAUGAAUCCAAAUAGGUGCCUUCGUGGGGCCUUAGGUGUAGGCCUUGAGGCUUCCCAUCAGAAUCCAUUCCAUGCUUAAGCGUUCUAUGAUAAUCAUAAUAUAAUAGAAAUAAAACUAAGAGGUAUGUCGAUCACUUGCGCCCCAAGUAACUUUGGACUUCUCGUUUAUCAAGGACUGUCGUGGAUGGGUUAAGUCCACAUAAGGUUCUUUUUUUAUGCCUUGAGGCCAAGGACUUUUAACUGAUCAGAUUUGCAUGCCCGAGGGCUUAGGACUUGGAUCUGGUUUGAACACUGAAGAUAUAUUCAAAUCGGAUCCAAGUACUGAGAAAGCCUUUUAAUAGUCAUCUUGAAAUAACUUGCAUAUAAUUGGAAGUAUACAACAUAUUGCUAGGCUAAUGAAUGAAAAGACAAAAACAAAGAAGGUCGGGCAAGGUUUAACCUUAUCAGGUAAGGCUGAUCGUUUUGCAGGUUCCAAUCUUUGUAGUUUUGUCAAGGGUCUGAAAGCUUAGAGAGAGAGAGAGAGAGAUAGAGAGAUUACAAAAGAUGAAUCGAUACUACAGCAAGGUUGAACAGGGUAGCAGAGCUAUUAUAAAGGUUUGAAGGAAGGUUUAUCCCAC